rnacentral:rRNA from 1 species
ACGGAAGGCAGCAGUGAGGAAUAUUGGUCAAUGGGCGGAAGCCUGAACCAGCCAAGUAGCGUGAGGGAUGACUGCCCUAUGGGUUGUAAACCUCUUUUGUUCGGGAAUAAAUGAGCCCACGUGUGGGUUUUUGCAUGUACCGUUCGAAUAAGCAUCGGCUAAUUCCGUGCCAGCAGCCGCGGUAAUACGGAAGAUGCGAGCGUUAUCCGGAUUUAUUGGGUUUAAAGGGAGCGUAGGCGGUCCUUUAAGUCAGCGGUCAAAUGUCGGGGCCCAACCCCGGCCUGCCGUUGAUACUGGAGGACUUGAAUACACACAAGGAAGGUGGAAUUCGUCGUGUAGCGGUGAAAUGCUUAGAUAUGACGAAGAACUCCGAUUGGGAAGCCAGCUUACUGUAGCGCCACUGACGCUGAUGCUCGAAAGCGUGGGUAUCGAACAGGAUUAGAUACCCUGGUA